ACGUAGGGAGCAAGCGUUGUCCGGAAUUACUGGGCGUAAAGGGCGCGCAGGCGGCAACUCAAGUCAGAUUUGAAAACUCCAGGCUCAACCCGGAGAUGGCAUUUGAAACUGAGUUUCUUGAGGGCAGGAGAGGAAAGUGGAAUUCCUAGUGUAGCGGUGAAAUGCGUAGAUAUUAGGAGGAACACCAGUGGCGAAGGCGACUUUCUGGACUGUACCUGACGCUGAGGCGCGAAAGCGUGGGGAGCAAACGG
rnacentral:rRNA from 1 species